GACGAACGCUGGCGGCGUGCUUAACACAUGCAAGUCGAGCGGAAAGGCCACUUCGGUGGUACUCGAGCGGCGAACGGGUGAGUAACACGUGAGUAAUCUGCCCUUGGCUUUGGGAUAGCCACCGGAAACGGUGAUUAAUACCGGAUACGACCACUUCUCGCAUGGGAUGGUGGUGGAAAGUUUUUCGGCCAGGGAUGUGCUCGCGGCCUAUCAGCUUGAUGGUGAGGUAAUGGCUCACCAUGGCUUCGACGGGUAGCCGGCCUGAGAGGGUGAGCGGUCACAGUGGGACUGAGACACGGCCCAGACUCCUACGGGAGGCAGCAGUGGGGAAUAUUGGACAAUGGGCGGAAGCCUGAUCCAGCAACGCCGCGUGAGGGAUGACGGCCUUCGGGUUGUAAACCUCUUUCGGUGGGGACGAAGCGCAAGUGACGGUACCCACUAAAGAAGCACCGGCCAACUACGUGCCAGCCGCCGCUGUAA
rnacentral:rRNA from 1 species